UCGGGAAUUUUGGGCAAUGGGCGAAAGCCUGACCCAGCAACGCCGCGUGAAGGACGAAGUCUUUCGGGAUGUAAACUUCGUAAGAAUGGGAAGAAUAAAUGACGGUACCAUUUGUAAGCCCCGGCUAACUACGUGCCAGCAGCCGCGGUAAUACGUAGGGGGCAAGCGUUGUUCGGAUUUACUGGGCGUAAAGGGCGCGUAGGCGGCGUGACAAGUCAGUUGUGAAAUCUCUGAGCUUAACUCAGAACGGUCAACUGAUACUGUUGUGCUAGAGUGCAGAAGGGGCAACCGGAAUUCUUGGUGUAGCGGUGAAAUGCGUAGAUAUCAAGAGGAACACCUGAGGUGAAGACGGGUUGCUGGGCUGACACUGACGCUGAGGCGCGAAAGCUAGGGUAGCAAA
rnacentral:rRNA from 1 species